rnacentral:rRNA from 1 species
AUUGAACGCUGGCGGCAGGCCUAACACAUGCAAGUCGAGCGGCAGCGGGAAAGUAGCUUGCUACUUUUGCCGGCGAGCGGCGGACGGGUGAGUAAUGCCUGGGAAAUUGCCCAGUCGAGGGGGAUAACAGUUGGAAACGACUGCUAAUACCGCAUACGCCCUACGGGGGAAAGCAGGGGACCUUCGGGCCUUGCGCGAUUGGAUAUGCCCAGGUGGGAUUAGCUAGUUGGUGAGGUAAUGGCUCACCAAGGCGACGAUCCCUAGCUGGUCUGAGAGGAUGAUCAGCCACACUGGAACUGAGACACGGUCCAGACUCCUACGGGAGGCAGCAGUGGGGAAUAGUGCACAAUGGGGGAAACCCUGCUGCAGCCAUGCCGCGUGUGUGAAGAAGGCCUUCGGGUUGUAAAGCACUUUCAGCGAGGAGGAAAGGUUGAUGCCUAAUACGUAUCAACUGUGACGUUACUCGCAGAAGAAGCACCGGCUAACUCCGUGCCAGCAGCCGCAGUAAGAC